GGCUGCAGCCAGCAUGCCUUAGCUCUCUGAUUGUGAUGAGGAUUGUUUGAAUCUUGUGAUGAGGAUACAGAAAGGUGCCUUGCAUCUAUCACACAGCCUGCUACCUGCAGUAAUAUGGACUGUAAACACAGUGCAGGAGAUUCUUAAGUAAAGAUUAAUGGAGAAGUGUCAACAGAAGAUUGGAACCUUAGCUGCCAGCAAGCUGCUUGCAUGAUUUGACCAUUCCGUCCACUGAGUGUGUUGGAGCUUUCCUGACAAGGCUUCCUCAAGCCUUGCCUGUCAAGCAAUGGUGGUCUAUGGUUGCCAUUUUACGGGAGAGAAACUGAUGCUCACAUAGUCAGCGAGUCUCCCAGUGUUAUGCGGAUGAGCUGACACAUGGCAAGAAA